ACUUGUUCUUUAAAUAGGGACUAGUAUCAACGGCACCACGAGGGUUACUCUGUCUCCUUCCCCCAAUCAGUGAAACUGAUCUUCCCGUGAAGAAGCGGGAAUAUACCCAUAAGACGAGAAGACCCCAUGGAGCUUUAAGCUCACCAGCACCUCUGCACUAACACACCCUUACAAACUCAGAGCCCUGUCUGCUAGCUUUAGGUUGGGGUGACCGCGGAGUAUAACACAGCCUCCACGACGAACGGGAUUAAACCCCUAAUCCAAGAGCCACUGCUCUAAGAAUCAUAAAAUUGACGUAACAUGAUCCGACUCUCGAUCAACGAACCAAGUUACCCUGGGGAUAACAGCGCAAUCCAUUUCAAGAGCCCCUAUCGACAAAUGGGUUUACGACCUCGAUGUUGGAUCAGGGUAUCCCAGUGGUGCAGCCGCUACUAAC
rnacentral:rRNA from 1 species